rnacentral:rRNA from 1 species
GAUGAACGCUGGCGGCGUGCCUAAUACAUGCAAGUCGAGCGAACAGAUGAGGAGCUUGCUCCUCUGACGUUAGCGGCGGACGGGUGAGUAACACGUGGAUAACCUACCUAUAAGACUGGGAUAACUUCGGGAAACCGGAGCUAAUACCGGAUAAUAUAUUGAACCGCAUGGUUCAAUAGUGAAAGACGGUUUUGCUGUCACUUAUAGAUGGAUCCGCGCCGCAUUAGCUAGUUGGAAAGGUAACGGCUUACCAAGGCGACGAUGCGUAGCCGACCUGAGAGGGUGAUCGGCCACACUGUCACUGGGACACGGUCCCGACGCCUACGGGAGGCAGCAGCAGGGAAUCUUCCGCUAUGGGCGAAAGCCUGACGGAGCAACGUCGCGUGAGUGAUGAAGGUCUUCGGCUCGUAAAACUCUGUUAUUAGGGAAGAACAAAUGUGUAAGUAACUAUGCACGUCUUGACGGUACCUAACCAGAAAGCCACGGCUAACUACGUG